CGUAGGACCCAAGCGUUAUCCGGAUUGACUGGGCGUAAAGAGUUGCGUAGGUGGUUUAUUAAGCGAAUAGUGAAAUCUUGGGGCUCAACCUUAAGGCUAUUAUUUGAACUGGUAGACUCGAGAGUAGGAGAGGCAUCUGGAAUUUUUAGUGUAGGGGUAAAAUCCGUAGAUACUAGAAGGAACACCAAUGGCGUAGGCAGGAUGCUGGCCUAUUUCUGACACUGAGGCACGAAAGCGUGGGGAGCGAACCGGAUUAGAUACCCGGGUAGUCCACGCCGUAAACGAUGGAUACUAGCUGUAUGCCGUAUCGACCCGGUAUGUAGCGAAGCUAACGCGUUAAGUAUCCCGCCUGGGGAGUACGGUCGCAAGACUA
rnacentral:rRNA from 1 species